GGGCCUGUAGCUCAGAGGAUUAGAGCACGUGGCUGCGAACCACAAUGUCGGGGGUUCGAAUCCCUCCUCGCCCA
rfam:Nicotiana attenuata strain TT chromosome 1, whole genome shotgun sequence.